CCUACGGGGGGCAGCAGUGGGGAAUAUUGGACAAUGGGGGCAACCCUGAUCCAGCCAUGCCGCGUGUGUGAAGAAGGCCCUCGGGUUGUAAAGCACUUUCAGUGAGGAAGAACGCCUGGUGGUUAAUACCCAUCAGGAAAGACAUCACUCACAGAAGAAGCACCGGCUAACUCCGUGCCAGCAGCCGCGGUAAUACGGAGGGUGCGAGCGUUAAUCGGAAUUACUGGGCGUAAAGCGCGCUUAGGUGGCUUGAUAAGCCGGUUGUGAAAGCCCCGGGCUCAACCUGGGAACGGCAUCCGGAACUGUCAAGCUAGAGUGCAGGAGAGGAAGGUAGAAUUCCCGGUGUAGCGGUGAAAUGCGUAGAGAUCGGGAGGAAUACCAGUGGCGAAGGCGGCCUUCUGGACUGACACUGACACUGAGGUGCGAAAGCGUGGGUAGCAAACAGGAUUAGAUACCCUAGUAGUC
rnacentral:rRNA from 1 species